rnacentral:rRNA from 1 species
UACGUAGGGUGCUAGCGUUGUUCGGAAUCAUUGGGCGUAAAGCGCGUGUAGGCGGCCAUACAGGUCAGCUGUGAAAACUCGAGGCUCAACCUCGAGACGUCGGUUGAAACCGUAUGGCUAGAGUCCGGAAGAGGAGAGUGGAAUUCCCGGUGUAGCGGUGAAAUGCGCAGAUAUCGGGAAGAACACCCGUGGCGAAGGCGGCUCUCUGGGACGGUACUGACGCUGAGACGCGAAAGCGUGGGGAGCGAACAGG